rnacentral:snRNA from 1 species
AUACUUACCUGCCAGGGGAGACACCUUGAUCAUGAAGGACGUUUUCCCAGGGUGAGGCUCAGCCNUUGCACUCCGGCUGUGCUGACUGCUGCNAUUUCCCCAAAUGUGGGAAACUUGACUGCAUACUUUGUGGUAGUGGGAGACUGCAUGCNUGCUUUCCCCUU